rnacentral:misc_RNA from 1 species
UGUGCAGGGAACUUUAGGAUACUUAGACCCCGAGUACUUAUAGACAAGCCAAUUGACUGAUAAAAGUUAUUAGAAUUAUGACUCAAAAUCCUAAUAGGAUUUGGAGAGAGAUCUUUUCCUAAUUUGAGUGGGAGAAAUAUUCUUCAAUAGGAUGGAUAAAUAUUUCUUAUAAUGAGUUGAACUCUUAUUUUAGUAUUAUUCCUAAAUUGAGUGGGACUCAUAAUCAGAUUAGGAUUGAGGAAUUAACAUUAUAAAUAGGAAAAUGGUGAAAAUUUUAUUUGGCUUUGCCCAUGGAGAGUGAUUUUGCCCAUUGAAGAGAGUAGCUUUCAACUCAUGGAGUAGGGUUGUUGCCCAUUGUAUUGAAGGGCUUUGCCAAUUGCUAAGGAUUUAGCUUUGCCCGUUAACGAGGGACAUAGAAACUAUGCAUAUCUUGUUUUAGGUUGAGCACAAAAAUCUGAAGCAGAAAAAAUGAUACACUGCUUAUACUGCCACUACGAAAAGAAUCUCUGUCAAUUAGUAAGUUAACUACAGCAAGAUAAAUAGAUUCAAUAAAUUUUUACAAACCUCCAACAUCAACACACAAAAGGAGUAUCUACAUCAAUUGAGAAUCAAUACAAUGCCAAGCUCACUCUUGGCAUAAGUCCACAUCAGUUUUUAUUGCAAAAAAAUAUUGAAGUAAUUGAGAGAAGCUACAAAAUUUUUAUUUUGAGGACAGUGCAAAUCAAAAUUUCCUUCCAUUAAAAGUAGGGAGAAACACUAUAUUAAAUAUAGUGAUGGAAUACUGUACUGAUUGCAUGGCUUUUCAAGUUAAAUAUAAUAGUUUCCAUAACGGGACUCCCAUACUGUGUUUCUACCAACAUAACAAUGGAAGGAACGACUCUUUGACAACUUUUAUUUCUGUACUUUAUUUCUAUAAUUAUUAAUCACCAAAGCUUAGUGCCUUCACCCCAACUAAGCAUCUUAUGUGGCCCGUAAACCACAGGCAAAUUGGAAUCUUAGCACCAAGAAUAUAACCUUUGCCUUCAACACCUUAUAAACGACCUUUGCCUUCAAUAUCUUAUAAACUAUCCUUCUUUUUUGAGAUAACAUAGCAUUUCAUUGUUAUAAAUGAGACUUUUGGCAAAGGUAAUGUUAAAUCUGUAAUUGUAGCAGGCAAUACCCAUAAACUUAGAGCCCGUUUGAUAUUCAUGCUGUUUUUGUUUUCUGGUGGUGGUUGUCCACAUUAAAAAAAUUAUGUGUGAAAAACAAGUUGAUGAAACAAGUAAAACCACUUUUUAUGGUUUUCACUUGUCAUAGCAACCUGUUUUCCUCUUUAAGAUGUCAACAAAAGCAAACAUUUUUCACUAACAGCUAAUAAAAAACACAGAAAACAAAAUAAUAGAAUUAACCACAGAAAGAUCCUCACCGGUGUGCUUUGAGAAGUCUGAACAUCA